AGUGGGGAAUAUUGCNCAAUGGGGGAMACCCUGAUGCAGCGACGCCGCGUGAGUGAAGAAGUAUUUCGGUAUGUAAAGCUCUAUCAGCAGGGAAGAAAAUGACGGUACCUGACUAAGAAGCCCCGGCUAACUACGUGCC
rnacentral:rRNA from 1 species